rfam:Theileria orientalis strain Shintoku DNA, chromosome 4, complete genome.
AUAAAGGCUUCACUCGAAGCCAUCACCUGUAAUAUAGUAUUGAAAU